CUUCGGUGGUGCCUGUUUCGGCAGGCCUUCGCUCGGGAUUCGUCUCGACGAUGUCGAUCCCAACUUUGGUGACUGUGAGCAAAUCAGAGCGCUCAAAGCGGGCAUUGUUCUCAGCUUCGGCUGGGAUAUCGCUCGAAUGCUUUAGCAUGGGAUCACGCGAAGCCUUGCCAGCUCUGCUGGUGGUGGCGCUCGCAAUGUGAGGUGACGGAAGGCGUGAGUACUGUAGUGCGAGAGGUGAAAUUCAGUGACCACUGCAAGACUAUCUAAGGCGCAAGCACUCGCCUACGGCACUUCAGUCGGAGAGGUGCGAAAGCCAGGGGAUCGAAGAUGAUUAGAUACCAUCGUAGUCCUGGCCCUAAACUAUGCUACCAGGAGAUAGGGCGAAUACCAAUCUCCGAUCCGCCCCGUCUCUGAGGGAAACCGUAAGGGUCCGAGUUACGGGGGGAGUAUGGUCGCAAGGCUGAAACUUAAAAGAAUUGACGGAAGGGCACCACCAGGAGUGGAAUCUGCGGCUUAAUUUGACUCAACACGGGAAAACUUACCAGGUCCAAACACACGUGGGAUUGACAGGUUGAAGUCCUUUCUUUUGAUUUUGUGAGUGGUGGUGCAUGGUCGUUCCUAGUGCGUGGAGUAGUCUGUCUGGUUAAUUCCGAUAACGCACGAGACCUCAACCUAUUGUUGGCGGCAACGGCGUCUCCGACGUCGACUGCUUAUACCAGCGGCUCCGGC
rnacentral:rRNA from 1 species